rnacentral:rRNA from 2 species
UACGGAGGAUCCAAGCGUUGUCCGGAUUUAUUGGGUUUAAAGGGUGCGUAGGUGGAUAAUUAAGUCAGGGGUGAAAGCCUGCAGCUCAACUGUAGAACUGCCCUUGAAACUGAUUAUCUUGAAUGUGGUUGAGGUAGGCGGAAUGUGUCAUGUAGCGGUGAAAUGCUUAGAUAUGAUACAGAACACCAAUUGCGAAGGCAGCUUACUAAACCAUUAUUGACACUGAGGCACGAAAGCAUGGGGAGCAAACAGG